UUUCGUUAAUUUGGAGUCGAUUUGGUUAUUGAGUUAAGUGAUUGGAUCAAUUGAUCAAUGUAAGACCUAAUUAUAAAUGUCCAAUUUUGGGUGUGAUCAAUUGGUUUAAUGCUCUAAUGUUAGUCAGAUUUAAAUUGGUAUGUAAUUAAUUAAUUAGCUAAGUCAAUUAAUUGAAAGGUUCAAGUUUGGUUAGUUGUUAAUUGUUUGACUUGGUCCAUUCAUAAUGUAAGACCUAUAUAAGGGCCACCUUCCUCAUGAAUUAGGGAAUUGAAUAAUUAAAUAAAAUCCUAGCCUCCUUUCUUCUCUUCUUCUCUUCUCCUUCUCUCCUUCUCUUCUUUCUCCUCCUUUCCUCUCCUCCCUGCAGUGAUCCGCCAUAAGCUUGGUAUCAGAGCCACAACUUUGCCUCUGCUGCCAAAGCCCCGAUCCAGCUUACCAGAGCCAUGUUUCAAAAUUUUCUAGCUGCCAUGGCAUUGCUUUCACAUGAGGGCUCAGACUUCUUCCUCAGCCGAGAAGGGGUCCCGAUUUCCCCCGUUCUUUCUCCAUGGCCGUCUCGUGGGGAUCAGGCCUCAUAGCGGGAAGCAACAAAAAAAAGAAGGAAAGAACCUGUUCAUCGUCCCCUCCGCCCGCCCGCAGCCACCACUCCAUUUUUCCCUCUACCGGUCGCAGCAGCACCACCACUGUCGCCACCUCCUUCCGCAGUGCCGCCUCACCGCUGGUUCGCCACCGGGCACCGCUGGUUCGCCACCGGAAGCCCAUCGGCCGCAUCCCUAUUGCCGCCAUCUGUAGCCGGAGCCGAAGGAGGAAUGCCACCGCCCCUCUCCGUCGCCGCAAAAUUCGGCCACCGCCACGGGGCAGGUAGCCUUCCCCUCAAAACCCUAGGCGAAUCUAGUCGGGUUGAAAAAAAAAAGCAUACCUGUUCAUCUUCUUCUUCAUCCGUGACG
rnacentral:lncRNA from 1 species